rnacentral:rRNA from 1 species
CGGGGACAACGUUCCGAAAGGGACGCUAAUACCGCAUAAGUUCUCUGAGACUCCGGUCUUGGAGAGGAAAGCUAGGUAGGUCGCAAGACUUGUCUGGCACUCGAGGAGGAGCCUGCGUCGCAUCAGCUAGUUGGUGGGGUAACGGCCUACCAAGGCGAAGACGCGUAGCUGGUCUGAGAGGAUGAUCAGCCACACUGGGACUGAGACACGGCCCAG